AGCAAAUGCCAGAUGGGCUGGUCCAUUUUUAGCCCAGUGGACCUGUCUAAUAUGUUUUUUUUUGCGCAAAAUUAUCAUUAUCUGGCUAAUAAUAGGGGCCGAUGUGGGGGGCUCAAGGAAAAGAAUGGACCGAUGUGGGGGGCUCAAGGAAGGUUCCUAUUAGACGGGUGUCUGAUAAAGAAGCUAAACCCAGAUGACUAAAUCAACCCGCGGGUUUCUGUUCAGCACCUUGGACAGCACCUUCCACAAGCGCAGUACAUAGGUUAUCUGCCUCUCUCUUGACCGGACAGUAGAUUAUACGUUCCACCUAGCCCUAGGUGGGAAAACACAACAAUUAGAAACAGACAUGGCAAAAUCAGCAGCUAUCUUGCUGGUGUUAAUUUCCUUUUUGUACAUCCUAUCUCAAUCAGCCCAUGUGGUUGCAGGAUGGACAGACGAAAGGCUACCAAAGGCUGAAGUUACAGAGGACUCUAGGGAACUGCUGGGUGUCCUUCAUAACGUCCUAGAGAAACUCCAAAACAGAAGAAUGGCUGUGUGGGAAAGAAGACAAAGCCACCUUCCUAGUUGUAUAGUCGGUGACUACUGCACAGUGAAAAAUCGACCACGGUACGGCCAACUAUGUGACUGUCCAAGAGGAUCAAAGUGCAACCUCUUCUUCCUCAAGUGUUUGUGAUUUAUUUUUGUUAUGGUAUUAGUUAAUUUAUUUCUGUCUGAAAUAUAGUAGGAUUUUGAAAUUUUGCUUCGCUAACUUCUAAUACAUAUCCUUCUUCUGACCUGUUCCAUCCAUGUGUUCUUUAAUUUGCCUCUCAUUCUACCAUUCUGUUCGUUGUGCAUUCAGCACAAAUAUGAAGGUAAGCUCAGUAAAUAUGAA